GAGAGGCAGCAAGACGAAAGGAGGGCGUCUGGAGUGUGGAGUUCUGGAGUUUGGAGUUCUGGAAGUCAGACGUCUGAAAUGAGUCUCACAGGACUAAAACCAAGGUUUAUAGGAACAUUUUGACCAGACCUAUGUGGACAGCUGCAAGAACAAGGGUUUCAGCACCAAGAAGUUUGCAGCAACCAACUUCACUCCCUCUCCUUUUAGUAUAAAAGAAGCCUGAAUUCUAACUCAGUGAUAUCACACACUGUGGACAAAGAAUGUCGCCUGCCAUUUCAGUAAACAAAGGAUGUUACAGCCAUAAAGCCGUCAGCUACUGCAGCAGCCCCUGAUGGUGCAACCUGAGGGGAAUUCAAGAUGGAGAAAAACAGGAUACUGGCCCUAGACAGUUAAAAUGCAUAUCAAAAGAAUAGUUUCAAUGAGCCCAGACUCUUGCAUCUUCCCAUACGUAGAAAGGUACUAAAAUCAUUACUUGAGAUGUCAGUAAUCUUUUGAUGUUUGAAUACAUGGGGGUUUUUUUUCCAGCAAAAACUCCUAUAUAUACUGGCUCCUCUCUUUCCUCCUUGGAACAGUCCCUCAGAGCUAUCUGAGAGGCUGUAUCCCAGGUUUAAGUCCUCAGUAAGUCUGCCGAAUAAAACAUAAGUCUCAACUUUUAGGUUGUGCAACUUUUUUUUCAGUUAAUACAGUGUUUGUCUUUCUCAGUCUAAAUGAUUUUACUUUUGCAGUGAUGUUCUAUCAGUGAUUCUCAAACUUUAAUAUUUAUUUGAAUCACCUGGAGGGCUUGUUAAAAUACAGUUUUUCUGAUUCACGAGGUCUGAGAAUUGUAUUCCUAACAACACUCCAGGUGUUGCUGAGUCUCUACCUGUUUGACAAAUAAGAAGCUACAGCCUUUUCCAGGGAUUACUUUCUGCUCCUGCUUUUGAUAAUCCCCAUGACGCCUAUAUGUCCAUAAAUAGGCCUGGUUACUGCUUGUUACUUCAGCCCAUUGGUGAAAAGGAGAUUAAAAUACACUUUGAGCUGGGCCCAAUUUCUGGUCCCUAACCACCCCUCAGAGACACCACUCUGGCCAAGUCAUUCAUGCCCUCUGGCCUCUGCCCCAGCGUGGGCAGCCAGGCACCUGCUGCCACUGCUAAUAAUGGAACCACAGAUCCACCACUCAGUAGAGCUAGAAAUCCAUCAACGGCACUGGUAUCAGUUUCUUGGCUUACACCCCAGAAAUCCUGAAGGAAUAAAACCCUAGUCUACUGACUCCUAAAGACCUUAGUUUAGACCUCUCUAGG